UUAGAACGCACACGGAUUUUAACAAUUAUCCGUUUGAGAGAAGUGGAAGUAGAGGUCAAUGGGAAGAUGUUUGGAGAGCAUAUAAGAGUACCCAGUCCAGAGAAUCAGAUAGAAAUAGAGCAAACUGGUAGUUUUCAUGAAGUAACAAUACUUGAGAUUCAUACAAUUCGAUGCACCUCGUGUUCAGCAUUCUGGUUACGUGUGUGUUUGCUGUCACCUCAGUACAUGGGAUACAUGAUUUCAGAACUUAAAAAGAACAGGCAUGAAAUUUGUGGAUGAAGUAUUCAACAUACUGACACCUCGGCCUUCGAUAUUUGGG
rnacentral:misc_RNA from 1 species